AUCGGGCCCUACGGGGCGCAGCAGGCGCGAAAACUUCACACUGUGCGAAAGCGCGAUGAGGGAAUCCCAAGUGCUUGCUUGUAAAAGUAAGCUGUUUUCAUGUUUAAAACGCAUGGAGAGUAAGGGCUGGGUAAGACGGGUGCCAACCGCCGCGGUAAUACCUGCAGCUCAAGUAGUGAUCACUAUUAUUGGGCCUAAAACGUUCGUAGCCGGUUUGGUAAAUGCCUGGGUAAAUCGUGUAGCUUAACUAUACGAAUUCCGGGUAGACUGCCAAACUUGAGACCGGG
rnacentral:rRNA from 1 species